GCCGCCUUAGCUCAGUUGGUAGAGCGCAGCCAUGGUAAGGCUGAGGUCGACGGUUCAAGCCCGUCAGGUGGCU
rfam:Enterococcus sp. 9E7_DIV0242 scaffold00006, whole genome shotgun sequence.